GCCCUCCACCGCACGCUCGUUUCACAUCUUCCGAAUUCUCAGUCAAUCUCUCUCUCUUUCUUCUUCCUGGCAAGGAACUGAACCACAGAACAGCUCCACCAGCAGGCUGAUUUCUCCCUGCUCCGCCCACCAUUCCCAAAUCUCCGCCUGCCGAGCCUUCCCCACCUCCCAAACUCCACUCGCCACCACUCAGCAGCGCCGUCCAUGGCUCCUCCGGCGGGGGAUUGACAAAUCCCCGCCCGCCAUUGCCGCCGGCCCCGAGCUCGGGCACCACCGGUGAACUCCCCCGUACCGGCCUCCUCUUCCACCACCGACCGCCAAAACGGAACCCCGAGUCCACAGCUGAGAACUUCAUGUACGAGUUGGUCACUGAGCCCAAAGGGCAACAAGAGCAGCAAGAAGAUUCAGUCCAAGGUCCGGAAGAGCCCAGUGCUAAGCAGCAGAAAGAAGGCAAGCCGCAGAGCAUAAUCUCUAAUUUUAAAAUUAUGCAAUGUUCUUAGUUAUGUAUAUGUGCAUUAACUUUUCACGAGUUGGAUGAAACCAUACUAGUUGUUAUAUACUAAGUAUGUGUAGCUCGAUAAAAAUGCUAUGCUUAAUUAA